GGCCACGGGCCACGGGCGUUCGUCGCCUCAAGCCCUUUCGCCUCCACGAGCGCACUAAACACAAUUAUUAGUUCGUCUUCCCUACGGUCGCUCUUAUUGCCGCCACUAUCUCAUCGCCGGCAUUACGACGGACACGAAACGACGUCUCUGUAUCCAUCUCCUCUGAGUAGCUCGCCGUCAGUUACCCUACAAUUGUGGAACUCAGCCGUCGCAGCGUUCGCGUUUAAAUACAUGUACGCACUUCCAUCUUCAUCCCACACACACGCCAAUUCGCCUCUGAUUUUCUGCUUCCCCUUUGUGUUUUCAACCCUCCUAAUUUCACAACCCUGCAUCCCUCUAUGCGCUGCGAGAACUCCAUCCAAUUCUGCAUCCGCUGCUCUAUCUUCUUGGUUUGCCCAUCCAAAUCUGCCAUCAAUGCGAGACGCCGCCUCCGUGCUCUCAAGCCCACGCCAAAUCGGCCGCCGCCCGUCCACAAGCACACGCCUCCACCGGGGGGAAUUAGUGCCCAGCGGACUGAUGUUGUUGCCGAUGUGCUCUUCCUGUCGUUCAACGCAGCGUGGCUUCUUGACAGGCCGACAACCCCCGUUGCUGAACUGCAGCCCUUAGGGGAGAGUAAGGGGUCUCCGCCCAUGCCAGAUGUCGUGCGCCGCUCGGGAACGCCAUGGGAAAGGGAGCUGUCCGCUGCCACUGACCACGCCCUAGGAGGCGCACCGUUGAGAAUCAAGAGGCACGCCUUCAGUCCAGGCUCUUCCUCCCUCACCUUCUUUAUUUGAUUCUCUCUUCUUUUCAGUGUGUGAAUGUGUAUUUGUUAUGUGGGAUGGGGCAUGUUUCAGAUUGUCAAGUAUGUGAACCAGAGAUAAUAGUAUACACAUCGAUGCAGUACGGAGGACUUGAUCGUUUACCUUGGAAGAAAGGACUACCUGCAGGGCAACAGGGAUAUCGCACAUCUAUCUCUUCAGGAUUCAGGUGGCUCAGGCGGGUUUGUUGGCACCCUGUCCAUGCAUACAAUAGCAUUCCCUGCGCUCCCUGUUCGAUCAUCUGUGUAGCUAGCUACUUUUUUUUUGAAAUGGAGUCUAGGUACAUUUUGUUAAAUCCUUUGCUUAGUUUUAAAUUAAACUGAUUGAACUAAGCAUUUUUUACGGUAUAAGCAUGGAUGAGUUGAUUGGCCCGGUUCACUUUAUUUCUUCUACGGAUAGCAGCAUCAAAUGGUUUCACCAUGCUUCCAGUUGCCUGGCAGUUGGUGAGAGAACUAUAUGAUAUUAUCCUCUCAUGUAACCUGUUUUGAAGUACCUCAAUUCAGGUAUAAUGUCUAUAAUACAGAAUACACAAGUCAAACCACACCGAAGGCCAAUGAUUUUGUUCUUUUGGCAAGAGUCAACAUAUUUGGACAAUGUCUACGUAUAAUAAUGUAACUUUACUUGGUUUCUGUC